CUCUCUCUCUUUAUAAAUUCGAAUCCCUGAACAAUUAGCUAACAGACCAUGGUCAUGUUGCAAUGCAUGGAUGGUCAUGAUUGCCGAACCAACCCAUCAAAUUUGGUCCUGCAGUUAAAAGGACCUGAACUCUCUUUCUCCCUUUCAAAAAUCUUAUGAUAUAAUGGCAAAUCUCUCUCCUUAUCUAGAUCUUUUUACGACCAUGAUAUCAUGCUUUAAUUUUGCAUUAGAAAAUACUUUAGGACAAACAUUUGUGCAUAUAGAAAGCUCAUCACAUCCAUAAUCAUUGACUUGGAAACUCCAUGAUGAUGGGGAAUGAGAAUCAGAACCAUAUUGGCAAUUAAAAUGAAAACAAGGC
rnacentral:lncRNA from 1 species